GGCAGGAUGGCCGAGUUGGUUAUGGCGCCAGGUUAAGGUUACCUUAAUAGGAAAUUCCUGGUUCGGGAAACUGAGCGUGGGUUCAAGUCCCACUCCUGUCA